rnacentral:rRNA from 1 species
UACGUAGGUGGCUAGCGUUGUCCGGAUUUACUGGGCGUAAAGAGCGCGCAGGCGGUCGUUCAAGUCGCGUGUGAAAGCCCCCGGCUCAACUGGGGAGGGUCACGCGAUACUGAUCGACUCGAAGGCAGGAGAGGGAAGUGGAAUUCCCGGUGUAGUGGUGAAAUGCGUAGAGAUCGGCAGGAACACCCAGGGGGAAACCAGUGGACUGGGCAGGAGCUGACGCUCAGGUGCGAAAGCGUGGGGAGCGAACCGG